rnacentral:rRNA from 1 species
UUUACAAACCUUACCGAAUGCAAUUGGAGGGCAAGUCUGGUGCCAGCAGCCGCGGUAAUUCCAGCUCCAAUAGCGUAUAUUAAAGUUGUUGCAGUUAAAAAGCUCGUAGUUGAAGUUCUGAUCGUUCAGGUCCUCAGCCUUAGGCGGGGAUUCUGACGGUCAUCCGCUUGCAAACAUAUGUUCGAUCUUCACCGGUUGGCUAUGUGAGUAAGCAAUUUACCUUGAGAAAAACAGAGUGUUCCAGGCAGGUUUGUCCGGAAUGCAUUAGCAUGGAAUAAUAGAACAUGACUGAAGUCUAUUUAUUGGUUUAAGGCUUUAGUAAUGAUUAAUAGGAACAGUCGGGGGCAUUCGUACUCAGCAGUCAGAGGUGAAAUUCUAAGAUUUGCUGAAGACGAACUAAUGCGAAAGCAUUUGCCAAGGAUGUUUUCAUUAAUCAAGAACGAAAGUUAGGGGAUCAAAGACGAUCAGAUACCGUCCUAGUCUUAACUAUAAACGAUGCCGACUCGGAUUCAGAUGAAUCAAAAAGUUCAUUUGGGACCGUAGGAGAAAUCAAAGUCUUUGGGUUCUGGGGGGAGUAUGGUCGCAAGGCUGAAACUUAAAGGAAUUGACGGUUUUGCACCACCAUGGAGUGGAGUCUGCGGCUUAAUUUGACUCAACACUGGGAAACUCAUCAGGGCAAGAAGAUUUUAGGAUUGACAGAUUGAGAGUUCUUUCUUGAUUGGUCUAGUGGUGGUGCAUGGCCGUUCUUAGUUGGUGGAGUGAUUUGUCUGGUUAGUUCCGUUAACGAACGAGACCUUAACCUGCUAACUAGUGCUUCGAUCUCUAAUCGAAGGCACUUCUUAGAGGGACUAUGUGUGGUAAUCACACGGAAGUUUGAGGCAAUAACAGGUCUGUGAUGCCCUUAGAUGUCCUGAGCUGCACGCGUACUACAAUGGCACUUUCAACAAGUCUUUCCUGAUCCGAAAGGAUUUGGGUAAUCUUUUUAGGGAGUGCCGUGCUUGGGAUAGAUCUUUGUAAUUGUGGAUCUUGAACUAGGAAUUCCUAGUAAGCGCGAGUCAUCAUCUCGUGCUGAUUACGUCCCUGCAAAAUGUACACACCGCCCGUCGCUUUUACCGAUUGAGUGUUCAGGUGAGUCUUCUUGAUAGUUUUUCUAAAAAUUAAACAAACCUUAGCACUUAGAGGAAAAAGAAGUCGUAACAAGGUUUCCGUAGGU